UACAGAGGGUGCGAGCGUUAAUCGGAAUUACUGGGCGUAAAGCGCACGUAGGUGGCGACGUAAGUCGGGUGUGAAAGCCCCGGGCUCAACCUGGGAAUUGCAUUCGAGACUGCAUUGCUGGAGUACGGAAGAGGAAGGCGGAAUUCCGGGUGUAGCGGUGAAAUGCGUAGAUAUCCGGAGGAACACCGAUGGCGAAGGCAACCGCCUGGGCCUGUACUGACGCUGAGACACGAAAGCGUGGGGAGCAAACAGG
rnacentral:rRNA from 1 species